rnacentral:pre_miRNA from 7 species
GAUUUUAAUUCCUUGCUGCAAACAAAAGUUUCAUGGUGUUAGAUGGGACUAACAUGUGAAAGAACCUAGUGGGGAGACCCCCACUCAAUUCCUGAUUCAGCGUGCACCCAAGAAUCACGAACAAACAG